GAUGAACGCUGGCGGCGUGCCUAAUACAUGCAAGUCGAGCGAAGCGGGGACGGGUGAGUAACACGUGGAUAACCGCCUAUAAGAAUGGGAUAAAUUCGGGAAACCGGAGCUAAACCGGAUAAUUAUAGAUGGAUACGCGGUGCAUUAGCUAGUUGGUAAGGUAACGGCUUACAAAGGCAACGAUGCAUAGCCGACAUGAGAGUGAGAUCGGCCACACUGGGACCGAGACACGGGCCAGACUCCUACGGGAGGAAGCAGUAGGGAAGCUUCCGCAAUGGUCGAAAGCCUGACGGAGCAACGCCGCGUGUGUGAUGAAGGUCUUCGGAUCGUAAAACUCUGUUAUUAGGGAAGCGGUACCUAAUCAGAAAGCCACGGCUAACUACGUGCCAGCCGCCGCGGUAAUAC
rnacentral:rRNA from 1 species